GAAAAGUAAUCGGCUGUUGUGCAACAGGGUCCAAGUGUAUUGCAUGUUACCUUCAGUCCAGUCUUUUGCUGGCCUGCAAUACUGAAAGAAGUAGGGGUGUCCUUAAAUUUUCCUUCAUGGGCAAAAAAGAUGGCAAAUAACAUAGUUACACCAGGAUUAUUGUUAAUCCUGUAGGUCACCUCAGAGGAAGUCUCUAUCAUCGAAGUUGCACACCCAGGUUUCUGCCUCCAAGGCAGUCCACUCGUGGCGUCUGUAAUCUCCCGCUGUAGUAUUUACUAGAGAAAUGUACCUCCGGGAACUGCCAGUCUGCCCUGUGCGAAACUACGAAAAAACUGCCAGAAAAGAUCUGGGAAGCGUUUACGUGGUGAGUCACUGGGCAGAGGGAGUGCAGCGCUCUGCAUCAUCCUCCCCAACCCUGCCAGGUGCUUCACUGCCUACCUGAGGGUACAGACACUUAAUUUUUCAGAAGUGAAACCGCUCCUUUGUGAUCCAGGCAUAAAACUGCUGUCACUUAUGCCAAAAUGAAAUUCCUGCCUGGUUUUGUUUUGUCUUCUUCAGUGUUUGUAUUGGCUUGGCAUUUUCAUAUUUUGUAUCCAGUGUCAGUAUUUGUUUCUGGGAAGAAAGUUUUGCUUAAACUUUAAUUUCUGCAAUUUGUUUGUUUAAACUUGUUGGCAACUUUGAAAUGCUGCAGUCUGCUCCAUAUGCUAGUAUCAGUGUUGCUAUUAGUGACUGACUUCCAAAGAAAUAAGGAGCAAUUAGACAGGGAAUGUUUUUUAUGAAAUAGUUGGGAGCAUUUUCAGUUAUAAUAAUAUUUGGGAAUAUUUUUGUGCUAUUUGUGGCUAGUUUUUAAUAAAUGUAGGGUUAUUUUGGCUGGUAUUGAGUCAAGAUUGUACAGUCCUGAAUCCAGUGAAAGUUUUUUUCCACCAUAGACUUAGAGCGUGUAUGAUGGAAAUAGACCAUAUAUAUUAUAUAUAUAUAUAUAUAUAUAUAUAAAACCAUGACAGUAGUAUUGGUAUGAUGGGCAAAAACUGACUGAUCGAGAAAUGCAAAAAAGCUGGGAGGACAGACAGAUGUGUGUUUGUAGAUGACAGGAUGAACAGUGAAUUUCAUUAGUAAGAAAUCAUGAUGAUGGUGUAUGUUGAAGCUUACCAGGUGAGCAGUGACAUCUGGAGGGGUUGGCCAACCUGAGACCGGAGCUGAUGCUUCAGUAGCACAGUAUAGUCAGUCUGUCGAGGUCCAAAUAGUGUGAGCCUGGUGAAAGGAACGAAGAAGUCGAAAACCAGAAUGAAAGCAAUGAUUUUAAGAGUCCUUGAUAAUGCUGGACUAGGGGAAGGAAAGCUAAGUCUGAACAAAGCAACAGGAUGCAUGUAUCAAAUAAGGAGAUAUUGGCAUUACCAAAACACAGACUUAGUUAUGAGCUUCAAUGCUAGGAUGGAUGGGAAAAGCCAUCUUUGCUGCUUUCAGAAGGAAUCCACAAACACAGCCUGGGCCUAAGGAUCUAGAGAGAGCAGAAAGCAGCCCCCUGUGGCUGGGUCUGUCAGUCGGGUGGCUGUGUCUCCAGCGAUCAGGAAAUGGGGCUACAGUGGGCUUUGCAUCGGCCUGUUUUUAGCAGUGUUUCACUUAAAGUAGUGCCUGAACUUCAUUAAAGAAUGGGAGUGAUUCCAAGAUGUUAAAGAUGGGGAACAAGACUGAAAGGGAGAGCUAAUUUGAGUCAUUCAUGUCAAGUUGUUUAUUUUAUGCUUAUGUUUGAGAACACUGAAAACACAGAUAUUUUUCUUCAAGGGUUGAGGAUGCUUUACUCUAGCUGAUCACAAUAAAAGUAUUUCAGUGAGAGUUUGGUCCCCCAGGACGAAGCUGAGCAGAGUACAGAGAGCAAAAAGCCUGGGAGAUAGGGCCCUAUAUGACUCCUGUAGAAAGCUGGAGGGGUAAAGAUGAGGAGAAAAAUGGGAGAAGACUAACCCCCAAGAAACAAACGAAUGGACAACUAAAAGGAGGAGGAUGUCUGCUUGUGCUGAAGAUAGCUGGCAGGCUGGGGAAGAAGGGAAUGGGUUGCUGAAUGUUGUCCAGAGAAGGUAAUUAUUUCUGGCUUUGAGUUCUGGCUCUGAUUCAUAUAAUAUUUAAGGAAUUUAUCUGUACUUCCAUGAUGAGCAGCCUGAAAGCAAAUGCUGGAAAUUUGCCAUCUGUGUAAAAACUUCUUUGCUGCGGAUGUAUACCAUGAAAGUGAGUGGGACUGAAACAAAGUCCAUUAACAAAUUCCUUUAUUGAUGGGAGUGAGAGGUGAAUGCUCUGGACCAGUUGAAACACCCAGGUCAAAAAAAUGCUUAACUGUUAAAUUCCUUUUCAAAAAAAAUGAAGUAGCACAUGCAGAUUUUUCAAUACCAAAGUCAGCAUUCAAAUUAAAAAAAGGUGGUGGAAGAAGGCAGUACAGGGUGUGUUUCAAAAGUUAGGGUUAAGAUGCAAGAAGAAGAUUAAUAAUAAUUCCUGUUGGAUUGGCCAACUAUUAUAAUAAACUGUGAUAGUGGACCUUGCUGUGAGUAUUUAAUUUUGCAGUUUUACCUUCAUCUAGGCUCAAUCCAUGAUCUCAAGAGCAAUCACCAGUGCAGCUGAUGUAUCCAUGUGUAGUCCUAAGAAAAUAUAUUAAUUUCUGCAUUUAUUCAAAGAGCAUGUGUUUUCUAGAACAAUCCAUGUCUUUGUGAUCUGAUCUGAUCUGAUCUCUUACUCAGUUCAGACUGAGAAUUUCACAUAAGAAUUCCUGUAAUGAGAUCUUCCUGGGUUUUGUGGCCAAAACUUUUGGGCAGGCUAUUCAACUCGCAGAUUUGGAAGCCUGAAUGGUGAUGAAUUUAUUGCUUUCCUUGGUACACUGGUUCAUCUGGCCCAUCUUGCUUCUGCUAAGUAAAACGAGAUAGCAGGAAUUUAUAAAACCUAGACUCACAUGUUCACUCACACUGUCGCUUGGGAAGAACACUCUUCUCCCUAGCCAUUUGAAAAAAUUCAGAUGAGAAAGGGAGAGUUGGGGUGUCCUCAGACUGCAUUACACCGUGAUGGAGACAUACAUAGUCACGUACCAUGGCACAUUCAUUCAGGAGAACACGGAGCAAAACGGGCUUCCUGUGGAACAGGCCUGCAGGCAGAGACAGAGGCAGGCACAGCACCUGGGUUAGACUGUUGCACCUGCAGGUCUGAAAACAAGCUCUACUGUACAGGGAGCCGGGAGCUACCAGCCUUGCAGUGCAGCCAUCUGAAAUACCCCUCUGGAGGGCUGCAGUGGUGCAGUCGCUGCUCUGAUCAUGACCCUUAAUGUCUAGAGAUGAUUUUGGCCCAGCUGUUAGAAACCACAUUAGACUUCAUUUCAUCUGAUAUGUAGGCAGUUAUUUAAUUUUUACUUUUCUGUGUUAUUAACUGUAUGCAGGAGGCAGUUUUUAGCCUUGCUUCACUGCUUCAAAAUAAAAACCCUCAUGCUUUAAAUUGCAUGGUGUGUACAAGGUGGGUAAUGGGUUACGUGAUUGUGCUCCUUCCUACGUGGCGACGCUUCCAAAUCUUUAAUAUGACCACCGAAAAUGAUCCCCAGGGACUAUUCAGGAUGGUUGAAACUGCAGUAAGUUUGCAGUUUGUUGAAAAUACCUGGCAGCAGUGUCUCAUAUUUAAGUGUAUAUGUGUUUGUAAUGGGUUUCUGUGGCUGGCUCUUUAGGAUAUGGUUUUCUUCUGCUAACCUGAAAUACAACUUCUGAAACAUAAACCUCGCAGAACAGAAUUAAUUUUCUGGGGAGUAUGAUUGUCACUUAGCUUGAUUUUUGUAUGUUAAACUGGUUUUGUUUCAAUUUUUAAGUGUAGAGGGUUGUAUAUAUAUAUAUAUGUAUAUAUAUAACCUUGUCUAGGGAAAAGUCUAUAGCUAUAUGUAUGCAUGGAGUUUCUUAGAACAGCAGGGAUAAAGCUGUGGUGGUACUUGCAGGGCAGAUUCUGACUGUGCUGAAAACCCCUCUAAAUCAUUAAUUUGAAGAUGCCAUGUAUGAAAUUUGAAGUUAUUGCAGGCUAUUCAGGAGAGCAUAGCUGCUCCCCCCCCCCCAUCUGAGGUUACCAUUCCAGGUUACAGUGGAAAGAAAUCUUGAUGGGAGAGCAGAGAGCACUCUACUGUUCCUGCAUGGCAUAUGAAGAGAGAGGGCUUUCCUUUGCAGAGUGGGUUAUCUGAGUCCCAUCUCAUGUUUUUUAAAUUCUGUGUUUAAAAUCAUCUUCAUGGGAAGAAAUCUCUCUUGUUGCAUAAUAGCUUCAGGCUGGAUUUUGAACAUUGAUUUUCCACUUACACACCUGAUUUAAAUGUGUUGCAUCAGAUUAAGAAACAGCAUGUUAUUGGCAGGACAGCUUCUUUGCACAUGAAAUGGUUGUAGAGGGUGGCAGAUACUAUAGUUGGGAACUGUGUAAUAGGAAUGAAGUUUUGCCACACUGGUGGAGCUCUGUGGCAUCUGGGGAGGUCUGGAUCCACACUGUGUGGCAUGGUUCUGAUUCCGGAAGGGAAGGUUAGCUUGCUCCUAGUCUUUGCCCUGAUUUCCAGUGCUGCUGCAGCAAAACUAGGGGUCCCACAUAGAACUGGGGGGAUGGUUUUUGUAUGUACUUAACUUCACUGCAUAGUCGGCUACCUGAAAGGAGAAGAUAAUUAAAAAAAAA